rnacentral:rRNA from 1 species
CGAGUGAACCGGGAAGAGCUCAAAUUUGAAAUCUGGCGUGCUCAGUGCGUCCGAGUUGUAAUCUAUAGAGGCGUUUUCCGUGCCGGACUGUGUCCAAGUCCCUUGGAACAGGGUAUCAAAGAGGGUGAUAAUCCCGUACUUGACACAAUGACCGGUGCUCUGUGAUACGUCUUCUACGAGUCGAGUUGUUUGGGAAUGCAGCUCAAAAUGGGUGGUGAGUUCCAUCUAAAGCUAAAUAUUGGCGAGAGACCGAUAGCGAACAAGUACCGUGAGGGAAAGAUGAAAAGCACUUUGGAAAGAGAGUUAAACAGUACGUGAAAUUGUUAAAAGGGAAACGAUUGAAGUCAGUCGUGACUGAGAGGCUCAGCCGGUUCUGCCGGUGUAUUCCCCUCAGUCGGGUCAACAUCAGUUUUGUUCGGUGGAUAAGGGCAGCUGGAAGGUAGCACCCUCGGGUGUGUUAUAGCCAGUUGUCGCAUACAUCGGAUGAGACUGAGGAAUGCAGCUCGCCUUUAUGGCCGGGGUUCGCCCACGUCCGAGCUUAGGAUGUUGACAUAAUGGCUUUAAACGACCCGUCUUGAAACACGGACCAA